UACGUAGGGGGGCAAGCGUUGUCCGGAUUCAUUGGGCGUAAAGAGCGUGUAGGCGGCCAGGUAGGUCCGUUUGUGAAAACUCGAGGCUCAACCUCGAGACGUCGAUGGAAACCAUCUGGCUAGAGUCCGGAAGAGGAGAGUGGAAUUCCUGGUGUAGCGGUGAAAUGCGCAGAUAUCAGGAAGAACACCUAUGGCGAAGGCAGCUCUCUGGGACGGUACUGACGCUGAGACGCGAAAGCGUGGGGAGCGAACAGG
rnacentral:rRNA from 1 species